CCUGCCUCUAGAAGCAUUGCAGGAAUGGCUGCUGUAUCACAUGUGCAUCAAUAGGUGACAGAGAGGGUAGAGGCUAUGUCUGCAUUCAGUGUCAUUACCUACUAACACCUGAAUCAUUAGUAGCCUAACAUU